rnacentral:tRNA from 1 species
GCGGGGGUGCCGGAGUGGUCAAUUGUUGUGAAUGUUCAUUUCAUAACAUGUCAGAAACGGGUUACGUUUCUGAGCAUGUUCGGAAAGCGCAGCAUUCCGACAGAUCAAACGGGUACGGUUGAGGGCCGUAUGGCUUAGUGCCUGCGCGGGUUCAAACCCCGUCCCCCGCA